ACUGUAUUCAUUUUAAAAUAACUUAGCCUUUUACCUAACGCCAGAACCUGUUUUUGAGCUUGUACCCAUGAGAGAAAUAACUUAGUUCCAGUUACCAAUUAAGUUGACGACCACUUCCAUUUCUGUGGUCUACAGAAUAGAUCCACUUUCUAUUUUGGAACAGUCCUCUCCCAUUUGGAUUCAAAUUCCAGAUUAGGAGGCACAUUGAAACCAGGAGAACCAGGUAUAGGAUGUUGGGAUUCUUGAGGGUGCCGUCAUAACCGUGACGGCAUCCGGGGCACAGCACUUUCAUCCUAUCACCUUAAACUUAAGAUUCACGAUCGGAAUCUUGAAACUAUAAGUAUAUUUCACUAAUGAAAACAAUGACUAAUCAAUUUUAAAAUUACCCUUAUCUUGGAGCCGGCGCGCUUUUUUAUUCUUCUGUAUGUAAUCUAGAUAGCUAGAGAUGUCAUUCAUAAUUCAAAAUUAAUAAAAGACUAGAGAUAUCUGGAAAUGAAUGAAAAAUGGAGCAUGCUUUUUUUCAACCAGAGAAGAUCUUGUUUUUUGUAAACCACCUAUUUCUGUCAGUAAUUGGCUCGUUGUUGUUUGAGUGCAAUGAGUCAGAAGCGGUUAGCCAGACAAGCUUACAGAAAUAAGUAAAAAAGGGUUCGUCAAGAGAUUGAAUUUGUGCAAAAUGGAUUGAGAGAAGAAAUGCUACAAGAAUUCAAUGUACCCAACGUUGAACAGCUUGAACCGACACAACAAGAAACUAUGAGAAUUCGGGACUCUAACCAUGAUGAUACCUUACUGUUAUUGUCGGAUACUGAGCCUGAGAAUAUUGGAAUACCAUUAAGUAAAAGUGUUUGUCCUCAGAUUAUUGAAGAUAUAAAUAGUAUUGAGUUAUCUAUUGACUUUACAUUUGAGAAUAUUGAAAUGCAAAACUCACUCAAGAACUUUUUAUAACAAUGGGCUUCGAAACCCCAUAUUAAAUACUCGGCACUUAAUUAUCUUCUUGUUAUUUCUUAUUUUUAUUAUUAGGCCUGUGACGAUAACACAUUUUUCUGUGCGAUUAAUUACCCUGGAAAUUAUUUGAUAAGCGAUAAUAUUGUCGUCUUGACACCAUUUCCAACUUUAUAAUUAGAAUGGCGUAAUAAUGCAAGUACACCAUUUCGAAGAUUAAUAUACUUUUAUUUUUAAAGAACACUGGAACUGGAAAUCUGGAAGACAUUUAAAAUAUCCAGAAUUAAUUAACAAAACAUCUAAAAACAAUAAAUAAAAUUAUUUUAACCAAAAAUGCUCUUAAAUAAAACCAAACACAACCAAAAACAAUAAUACAAUUUAAACAUAAAUAAAAAAGAAAUAAACCAGAUUGCACAUCAACAAAUAAUAAGCAUCAUGCUCAGACAUAGAGGCAAAACUGCCAAUUAGGACCUUUGUGCAAAAAAAAAAGAGCAAAC
rnacentral:lncRNA from 1 species